CAGCGAACGGUGGGGUUCAUCACUCGCGACUCUAGCUCGAGAACAGGCCGCGGUAGGCGCCCGAAUGCGCUGCAAUUGCGCGGUUCGCGGGC
rnacentral:tRNA from 1 species